GGCCUCCCAUGCUUACCACAGACUGUGGUCUUAUAACAACUGUACAGAAAGAGAAGGCACUGUAAAUGCAUCCCAUAUAAACCUCAGCCCAGACUCUUUACAUGGUCUGUAUUGUGAAUUGGGGGACAUAG